rnacentral:rRNA from 1 species
UGGGGAAUAUUGCACAAUGGGCGCAAGCCUGAUGCAGCCAUGCCGCGUGUAUGAAGAAGGCCUUCGGGUUGUAAAGUACUUUCAGCGGGGAGGAAGGCGAUAAGGUUAAUAACCUUGUCGAUUGACGUUACCCGCAGAAGAAGCACCGGCUAACUCCGUGCCAGCAGCCGCGGUAAUACGGAGGGUGCAAGCGUUAAUCGGACUUACUGGGCGUAAAGCGCACGCAGGCGGUCUGUCAAGUCGGAUGUGAAAUCCCCGGGCUCAACCUGGGAACUGCAUUCGAAACUGGCAGGCUAGAGUCUUGUAGAGGGGGGUAGAAUUCCAGGUGGAGCGGUGAAAUGCGUAGAGAUCUGGAGGAAUACCGGUGGCGAAGGCGGCCCCCUGGACAAAGACUGACGCUCAGGUGCGAAAGCGUAGGGAGCAAACA